rnacentral:lncRNA from 1 species
ACUUGUCAAUACGAGAACCGCUUGUUUUGAACAACGAACACAAUCCACUCCGCAAAAACUUACUACAUAGUAGUUCAAACACCAAGACCUGUGAAAAAAAAAAGAGUUAAACAAACAACAAAUUUUGCUUCAAAUUUAAAUGUGCACACACGCACUAUCACCUACUGGUAUACAUAGAUACUCCCCACAUAACUCAUACAUGACUACAUGACUACAUAGUUUAUAUAUAACUAUAUAUUACUACAUGUGACUACACCAUAUAUUACUGUAUGUUACUACACGUGACUAUAUAUUACUAUAUGUAACUACACCAUAUAUUACUGUAUGUUACUACACAUGACUAUAUAUGACUACAUGUAUAUGACCAUAUGUGACUAUAUACAUGUCUGUGACUUUAUUUGUCCCUUCAAGUACCUGACUUUGUUCUCCAGGCGAUACGACACGACUUAUAUUAUCAAAAUCAAAUUACAACAGAGUAUGCUAGUCAUUAUUCUUCGUAUAAUCAAAGGUCAAAGAUCAAAGCAAGUUGAAGUGGAACACCAUAGAUAAAAUAAUAGUUGAAACACACGUAAAGUAGUCACCUAUUUCAUUCUCGAUAAAUAAAAUAUCAAUAUCAUAUUACCAACAAAAUAUUCUCAUCACGAAUCUACAUAUACUCCCAAGUAUAAAAAAAAGUAAACAAAUCAUUUGAGGACCAAUAAACAGGGAUUCAAUAUAUUAAGAAGCACAUUAAAAUUCAUUACCUUUUCUAUGCCUUCAAUGGAUGAACAGUCAGUUUUGUCGCACCACCACCAGGAACAAGUUUCGAGUUUUUUUUAUUAUAUUUCUUGCCACAACAAUCGUGUUUUAUGUACAAGUCGACUCCUAAAAUUAAACUCACAGCUUCACAAAAAAAAAAGAGAGAAAAAAAAUUAAAACCAAAACUCAAAAAAUAACUGCAAAAUUCGAUGAUGGUUGUACAAAAAAUACUUUGGUGAACUCAAAAAAUACCUGCAAAAUUCGAAUUACAUUACAUGAAAAAUACAAAAAAACAAUGAAAAACACUUUAUUGAUAAAUUUACUUUGGUGAACUAUAGUCACAUGUAGUUAUGUCUUCUUGUUACUACAUAUGACUAUAUAUGACUAUAUGUAGUCAACUAUAGUCACAUGUAGUUGUGUUCAUUCUUGUUACUACAUGUGACUAUAUAUGACUACGUGUACAUGACCACAUGUGACUAUAUAUAUGUAUAUAUAUAAAAUUCCUCUACACCAGCAAAAAAGUUCACAAGUGAAUCUAUAUCAUAUGUUCGCCUUCAGAUUAGAACUGUAUGAUCAUAUAAUCAUGCAUCUGUUAGAGAGGAAACAUGAUUGCCUACUUAAUGUAUCCUAAAUUCCUAAUAGACAGAAACCCCACAAGAAACGAAAAAUAAUUUAAUUCCAGUUAAUAUACAUCAAGAUUAAUACGGUGUGAGAGAUAGGUAUAGUGAGAUGGCAGUUAACCAAUGACCAUUGUGCAAAAGACUUACACAGUUCAAAAUGUCUACCAACUUUCUAAUGUGUGUGAGGAUUGACAACUAAGAUAAGACCAUCAAACAGAUUCUAGAAUUAGAUAAAUGUAUGAUCAGUAAACAUACACUGGAGGGGUUUUUAAGUCUCUGUGCUUCAUCAAUUAUCGCAUAAUGCCAAUGGAAAUUUCCCAUUAACUGCUAUUACCUACAAAAGGAAGUGAAUUGUAUAAUUAUAAUUUGAUGCAAAUAUUAAAUAAAUAAAUAAAAAUGAAUUAUCAAAUAACAAGGAACAUAGAAAAAUACUAGUUUGGAAUAACACCAGAUAUAAGAACUGUAUAAUUAAUGUAAAUCGUAAUCGAAAUCGAAACCGAAAAGGAAUAGAAUAAAAUCUACAUAUAAUUUACAGCUAUAGUUUAUCCAUAAUCAAAAAUAAAUUUACAAAUUUGAGAAGUUAUAAAUCCGCACAAAUCAAAAACAGAAUCAAGUUCGAUAAAUCUAACUUCACCAAUAACCAAAACAAAAACAAAAACAAAAAACACACACACAAACACACAGUGAACUGAUGAAAAUUGAAAAAUUGAAAAAAUGAAGGAAUAAUUCACCUGUUGAGGAACACCAGGUGGAGA